UACGGGGGGGGCAAGCGUUGUUCGGAAUUACUGGGCGUAAAGGGCUCGUAGGCGGCCCGUUAAGUCAGACGUGAAAUCCCUCGGCUCAACCGGGGAACUGCGUCUGAGACUGGGGGGCUGGAAUCCGGGAGAGGGAUGCGGAAUUCCAGGUGUAGCGGUGAAAUGCGUAGAGAUCUGGAGGAACACCGGUGGCGAAGGCGGCAUCCUGGACCGGUAUUGACGCUGAGGAGCGAAAGCCAGGGGAGCAAACGGG
rnacentral:rRNA from 1 species